UGGGUCCUGAACAGGGAAGACAGCCUUUGUGCCCUCUCCCUUUGUGCCAUCAGUUUCCCCACCUGUAAAGUGGAAAGCAACUUGAAAACUGCAGUAUGGGUGAGAUUCUCCUGUGGUGAGGAGGGAGACACAGAGGAGGGGCUGUACUGGGCGGUUUCCUGAACACCCUUCAUACUCAGACCUAUUUAGUCCAGGGUAGAAGAGCUAGAGUUGCAGCCGCUGGGGUCUGGAAAAGAACCACUUUCUGCAGACUGAAUGGAUUUCAGCCUGAGCUAAGUAGUAGUGUUCCUAUGCAUGGAGCUACUGACCAAGGUGAUGGAAUUUCCAUAUGAAUUAUUGGGCUCAAAGAUGUGAAUGUAUUUCAACCUCUGGAUUGCUCUCCGUGAGCUGUGUCUCAUAUACUCCCUUUUCAUAAGAACUGGCUGGUUUCCUACGUUACAUGAUGAGGUUUCUGCCUGCUGAUUGGAUGAUUCACAGAUCUACAAAGGGCUUUCGUAGCCCCUCAAGACCAACCGAGAUAGGGAUACCUGCUGUAAUAGGCAAACUCAGAAUGAGAAACAAUCACCACCCCCCAAAAAAGUUUGCAAUUUAAAUAAGCCACCUCCUGACUGAAAGAGAAACUGACACAGCAGCUAAAGCCAUGAGAAGAGGUGUCGUUUUUGAGAGAGCCACACGCAUAUCAUGUUCUGUAUUUAAUGUUUUCCUUGCUUUGGUUUUUAUCGAGGCAAGCACUGAAAAGCCCAACUUG